rnacentral:lncRNA from 1 species
GUGGACUUCGGCCUGAUAAGCAUGGAAAGAAGGGAAAGAAGGAAGACGAGGAAGAGGAAGCUUCCAAAAGUGACCAACAUUCUGAACAUUCAGAUUGAGGUCACUGAAGAAGAAAAUUGAAGCAGGAGGUUCAAAAGGAAUGAAGCUGUGCUUUAGUAAUGCUCCAUAUACAACAGGUUUAAGUUUGCUUGUUAAAGAUUACUACAGGUUUGGUUUUCAGAAUUUAUAAUGAUCAGACAAUAAAGUUCCAAAAAUCAUAUAUGGUGUGAUUUACAUAUUGAUUGAUGGUGUGUCUGUAUUGUCUUAGCUAUUAUAUGUUGAGCAUAAUAUGACCAGAUAUUUCUUUUACCGACAAUGAAAGUCAUUGGCACGCAGUGAUACUAAGCUAAUAUGUUUAGUAUUUGCUAGAAUCAUGAGUUUUAGGUUAUAUAUAUAUAUAUAUAUAUAGUAGAUCCUAAACUGCUGUUCAAAAAAGCAUCCAAGAAAUAUUAAUAAUUUUUUAUGAUAUUCAUUUACUAUAUAUACCAUGGCCCUUGCACCACCCUUAACCUAUUAAUCGGUCAUAGUAAUAAUACAAAAAAAUAAAUCUCAAAGAGAUAAAUAUCAUCAUUCUCUUAUGCUCAAUACAGUCCAGUACUCCGGCAUCUAUCUAUAAGUCAUGGAAUUAUAACAGUUGCGUGUCUUGUUAAAUGUUUUAUUUUGUAAAUCAGAACCCUAUUAUUUAGAGAGGGUUUCUGGGUCUUGGAGAGAGAUUGUGAAGAAAAUUUCCCUCUUCUCUCAUCACACAAUCCAAGUAUUUAUGUAGAAAAUAACUGUUUGUUAUCCAUCACAUCAGAAAAAGGCUAAUCCAAAAUAGAAAAUCUGCUUGUUUACAGCGCAUUUGCAAGUUGAUCGAUGACCUUGUAUCGGUCUAAUUGAGCUUCAGUAUUUGAGUGGUGUCUCUAUGGGUCCAAGAGAUGAUCGGAGGUCAUGAGUCAUGAUGUUUAAGCUCCAAAAAGAGGGACUCCGCACCAGGAAUUCCAUUUAUCAAGUAACCUUGUUGAUGAGGUCACAUUUUCUUCUAGCCUUGAGGUCUCUUGGGCUUUCGGGCUAUGACAGGCCAUGACCACGAGUCAUUGGGUUGAGUAGGAAGGACGAGGUUUGAUCUUCAAUGUUGGAACUCUUCUCUUGUUAAAUCAAUAAGCAUGUGAAAAUGGUCACCGAAUAGGGCAUAACCAAACCCUUGAUUACGCUUAAUAUUAAUAAGGGUAGAGAGAAUCCUUUAUGAAGUGUAGAGUGUAUGCAAAGAGACAUGAGAAAAUGGAGAUCAGGGCAAAGUCCCCCUAUGUGUGAGCUUUUGCCUUUUCAUAUUGAGCCUAUCCUGCUAUGGUGUGGGGAUAUUUUCAUAAAUUCUCUAUUUUUGUUAGCCAUGAUUACCCUUUAAAUAAACCAUUCAUGAAAGGGAUCAGGAGUUUUUUCGGUCUCCAUUGAUUUUUUUUUUCCAUAAAGAAAAACGUAAGGUGUCCUCCAUGCAUUAGAGGAGGUUUUAUUUCGAAAUGAACAUGGUUCCGGAAUAAAAUCAUGAGCCCAUGGUGCGUCUUCCAGCUCCAAAAUGUGAACCCCGAACUCAAAGGAAAGGGACGCUUGCUCGGUUAGCUUUCCAAAUACCAAACGUGUUGAAAUGAGACCAGACUUGGUAAAAAUACGAAUAUCAGUCAUUCCAGCUGGACGUUUAAGGUCCGACUCCUUCAACUACAUACAAGAGCCUGCACAGCAUUCUUCUCCACCAUGAGACUCAGGGUGUUAGAAUGGUUUUGUGUUGACAUGUUCUACAGGCAGCCACCUACGAUAUCCAAAUUUUCGGCUAAAUGCGUCAAAAACGUUUGUAUAUUUGAUCAUAGAGCUCCACCGAAGAACAGAUCACUUGCAUACAACCUUUGCCUCCAUAACAAGGAGUGCUUCCUACCCGAUUCUUUUCUCCUUUCAUUUUUGUUCUUAAUUCAGAAAGAGAAGCUGAAAACAUUUUCUUCGAGAUUUAUUCAAAUGUUAGUGGAAUUUAAAGGAAAGUACAACUAGUACCAAACAUGGAUUUUCUUGGAAAGAGGAAAGAUCAUUUAACUUGGCCUCAAGGACACCUUGAAUCACAAGAGACAGUGAUAACUUGUAAGGGGGAAUCUUGUUCCUUUAUCUCUUCAGCUUCUUGAGCUACUCGUGUUGCGUGAUUCUGCAUUUCUUUGUUCUUACCCCAAAGAAGAAUGUACAAGCCAGUUAUCACAAAGAUGGAUCCCAGCAAACUGCUCAUGAAAAUCCCUAUUGUGAAAAAUAAAAUAAAAAUAGAGGCAGUGUUAGUACUAUCCAAGACAGCAUGGUCAAAAAGUUUACCUGCCAAGAUAGAGUUCCUCAUGGAGGAGAGGGACAUCAAGCAUGGCUGCCAUUAUCUGAACUAGGGGACUGAACGCUGCUGUAAAGACCGGGCCCCUUUUCUUAACACACCAUGACAUGCCUACAUAGCACAAGCCCGAUCCUAUCAUUCCCUGCAUAAAUCAAUGGUUCAUUAAGCAGCGAAGAGACACGACAGAAACGAAGAGCUCUAUGGAUUUCAGCUUUUGAAGGUUGUGCUUACAGCAUACAGGACAGUUAUAAUUUCCAUUUUCCCCUUCAGAAUCCAUAUGGAGAGGCUCCUUUCAGUGGACAAGCAUAAAAUAGCUGACUGAAUGGCACCGAAGAAGGACAUAAUGGCAGUGCUAGAACAUUGGAAGGGGUAUCUCCUUCCAAUAUGUGAUUGAAGUACAAACCAACCAGACCACAACAGCGUUCCAACAAGCAAAGCAAUACAACCAAAGGUCCAUCUUCCGGCCCUUUUAGUUUGGCUCAGCUUUAGGCUAUGAUCCAUGGCUCGAGUUACAGCUUGACCAGGUGAGUUGUUAAAUAAUGGUGCUCCUCGGUGGAGAGUCAGCAGCAUGGCACCAGCAACGCACACCAGGGUACCGAGUACUUUGGCUUUUCCGCUGUUGGAUUUUAUAUGAACAGUCUCCAUUCUGCAAGGCAAUAGAUAGAAACCAAGAAAAGCUAAAGCUGCAAGACUGCGACAAAGAAUAUGACACGUUGCGGAACCAUGAAAGUUGAAAGAAAAUUAUUAUGGAUACUUGAAUGGCAGUGCCAUUAUAAACGUAACGACAGGAACCAUGUUGAUGAAGGCACAUGAAAAUGAAGCAGAUGUAUAUUGAAUGCCGAUAAGGAAGAAGUAUUGUGUCAGUGAUGCCCUGCAAGGAACAAUUAGUUGAUGAGUCGUCCAUGAUAGUAGUGGCAAGGAUAUUGAAAACUUGAAAAGGCUUAAACAAUACUCACCCGACAAUCGCACUGAGGAACAGGUAACAUAAGAUGCAAAAUGUGAGCUGUGGUCUGCUACCCCUGCAAGCAAGCAAGCUUGAUUUGUAAGAUCUGUUGCUUUAAUAUCUGAAAAGUAGUAUAUAUCACAAUGCUACAAUAAGAACUUCAAUCCUUAUUCAUUAACUUUAUUAGCCGACGAACAUUUGGUUCUAGCAAGCUAGCUAGCUACAUGCCUGUAUAGACUAUUCUGGGGAGGGGCACGAGCUUAUACAGUCAAGAAAUCAAAAUAAAAAUAAGCAGAAUGUUGGACUGAAGAGCUACUAUAUAUAUACCUUUCCCGGAAGUAGCCGAUAGGACCCAAGAAAAUAGCAGAAAUCGAAAGCCGGUAUGUGACAAGGACCAGAUGGUUAAUCCCCUCAUCAAGGACUUUCUUGAGAAGAAUAUUCACAAUGGAAAAAGCAAAAUCAAUUGUUAUCAUUGCUAUGAAAGGUUUCCAUUCAUGACAGCUCUUCAAAUCAGCCAUUGAAUCCAGCACUCUUGAAAGAAGUAGAGUAGCACUUUUCUUAUCACUCUCUUUGCUAAACAAUUUCCUCUACCAGACAGUACUACAAGCUUAUGUGCAGAGAUAUUGCCCUAAAUAAAUGGACUCUGGAAUAAUUGGGUAGUAAGAAGAAUUGAAUUCUUCAUCAAUCGCUUUAAGCAACCAAUAUCGACAAUAGUUUGUUAUUUAUUCUCUUCUUUACACUUUCUUUUGAGUGAUACUUUCCAACAAAUGGAGAUUACAAGAGAAUCAUUUAGCAUCACGGAUCAUACAAAACAGUGAAGCAUCAAUACAUGAUUUCGUCCUCGAAAAUGGUAGAAGAAGCAAAAUUAUGUUAGAAUUAUGAGAUUUUGCCUUUAGAAAGAUAGAAUUAAGAUCAGUUUUUCAUAUUUGAAUUCUGUAACAGUUUAUCUCCUUCAGGAUUUGCAGCAGAAACAUUCUGCUUAGUCUAGGAUUUCAAUUCCAAUAAUCUCUCAAGUUUGUUGAGAGUUCUAAUGCAUUUCAAGUUCUAUGUAAGCCUAUAUAUAGGCAUUUGAAGUUAAUGAAAACUAUUGAUCUUUCUACUCAACUCUGCCAUCUUAAAUCUGUUUCUUUUUCUUUACGUAAACUGUAUUGUUUAAGUUUAAUUCAUUUCCAUCAGUGGUAUCAGAGCAAAUAGAUCCUACGGGCUGUGGGGCAAACAAUUUUUUCUUUCUUUUGAGUGAUAACAAUAAGAGAAGGUGAGGCAAACACAGAGAGGGUGAGCGAAACACUUGAGAGUUAUUUUCUUUCUGUUUUUUGUCAAUGUCUUCUUCAAACAAUAUUGUAUCUGCAAUUCCAAUGUUUAGUGGAGAACUCUAUCAUAUUUGGGCUGUCAAAAUGAGAUUUUAUCUAAGAUCUCGUGGCUUAUGGAAUGUUGUGGCAACCGAUUCUGAUCCUCCACCAUUGAAUGCAAAUCCUACAAUUGCUCAAAUGAAAGCACAUGAAGAAGAAAAACUCAAGAAGGACAAAGCCAUUACCUGUCUUCAUUUUGGUCUUGCAGAUCAUAUUUUCACAAAAAUUAUGAAUCUGGAUCACCAAAACAGGUAUGGGAUAAGCUUCAAGUUGAAUUUGAAGGCAGCAGCAGAGUCAAAGCAGUUAAACUUCUUGCAUUUAAGAGGGAAUUUGAGUUGAUGAAGAUGAAAGACAAUGAAUCUGUCAAAGAUUAUUCUGGCAGAUUAAUGGAUGUUGUAAAUCAAAUGAGGCUUCUUGGAAACACAUUUGAAGAUCAUAAGGUAGUAGAAAAACUUAUGAUGUCUGUUCCUCAAAAGUUUGAAGCUAAAAUCUCAGCAAUAGAAGAAUCUUGCGAUCUGCAAAGUCUGACUAUUGCUGAGUUAAUUAGCAAACUUCAUAUUCAGGAGCAAAGAGUUCAUAUGAGAGAUGAUGAGGCAGUUGAAGGGGCUUUCCAAGCAAACAACAGGGAAAGGAGUGCUGGUAAUCUACCAAGAAACAAACCUGUCAAGUAUGCUAAAAGGAAAUCAAGUAUACCUUCAAAAAGACAGACUUUCUCACCAUGUUCUUAUUGCAGAAGAACUAACCAUACUGAGAAAGAUUGCUGGUUUAAGGGGAAACCUUCUCUUCAAUGUUUAUUCUGUAAUAAUCUCGGUCACAGUGAGAAAUAUUGCAGAAUCAAGAAGAAGCAACCUCAGCAACAAAUACAACAACAAGCAAAUGUUUCUGAAGAAAGCAAAGAUGAGGAGGAGCAUUUGUUUAUGGCAACACAAGCUAGCAAUACCUCUGAACUGAAUACAUGGCUUAUAGACAGUGGCUGCACAAGUCACAUGUCCAAAUUUCUGUCAAUUUUCUCCUCUAUUGACAGAUCAGUUCAACCGAAGAUUAAGCUGGGAAAUGGAGAUAUUGUGCAAGCUAAGGGGAAAGGAACUGUUGCAGUCAGCACAAAUAGAGGUAUUAAAACCAUCACAAAUGUUCUUUACAUUCCUGAACUAGAUCAGAAUCUCCUUAGUGUUGCACAAAUGCUCAAGAAUGGUUAUGAAGUCUCUUUUAAAGAGAAAUUUUGCUUUAUCACUGAUACACAUAAUUCAGAGAUAGCAAAAAUCAAAAUGGAUGGUAAUAGCUUCUAUUUGAAGCUUGAUGCUGUUAAUGGACAUGUGUUUAGUGCAAAGAUUGAUGAAAGCAUUCUUUGGCACAAAAGAUUCGGUCAUUACAAUCUUAAUUCAUUAAAGUUGUGUAUGAUACUGGAAUGGUAGAAAACAUGUCUGCAAUACAUGUUACUGCUCAUACAUGUGGAAGUUGUGAACUGGGAAAGCAGCAUCGACAACCAUUUCCUAAAGGUAUAUCCAAAAGGGCAACACACAUGCUGGAGCUGGUUCACUCAGACAUAUGUGGACCUAUGAGCACAGCUUCUUUGAAUAAUAAUGUGUAUUUUAUAUUAUUCAUUGAUGACUACAGCAGAAUGACUUGGGUUUAUUUUCUGAAAAAACAAGUCACAAGCUUUAUCUAUGUUCAAAAACUUCAAAAGCAUGGCUGAAACUCAAAGUGGUCAGAAGAUCAAAGUGUUGAGAACUGAUAAUGGUGGAGAGUAUAUUUCGAAGGAGUUUAAUGCCUUUUGUUCAGAAGCUGGAAUUGUGCACCAGCUGACGACUCCUUACUCUCCACAGCAGAAUGGAGUUUCUGAAAGGAAGAAUAGAACAGUGAUGGAGAUGUCCAGAUGUAUAUUGUUUGAAAAGAAGUUGCCAAGGUUUCUAUGGGCUGAAGCAGUAAAUACUUCAGUAUACUUGCUUAAUAGACUUCCAACCAAGUCUGUUCAAAACAAAACACCAUUGGAGGCAUGGUCUGGAGUCCGGCCUACUGCCAAACAUUUAAAAGUGUUUGGAUCAUUGUGCUAUUUUCAUGUUCCAUCUGCCAAAAGAGGAAAACUAGAUGCUAGAGCAGAAAAAGGGAUUCUUGUGGGAUAUGCAACAGAAUCAAAAGGUUACAGAGUUUUCAAUCUGAAUUCAGCCAAAAUUCAGGUCAGCAGAGAUGUGCAAUUUGAUGAAAAUGCCUGCUGGAAUUGGGACUUAAAAGAAGUUCAACAGACUAUCACAGCUGACCUUGAAUCACCAGUACAAAGUAUUGAUGAUGAAGAUCAACAAGCCAUUGAAGCAACUUCAGAUACAACAGUACUUAAGGUUAGACAACUGUCUGAUGUGUAUGAAAGAUGUAACCUUGUACAUGCUGAGCCUACAAAUUACUCUGAAGCUGCAGGAGAUCCAGCUUGGAUUGAAGCAAUGAAAUCAGAAAUUGAUUCCAUUGAAAGAAAUGGGACUUGGAGAUUGACUGAAAUUCCUGGAGAUAAAAAGGCAAUUGGAGUGAAGUGGGUUUUCAGAACCAAAUUCAAUCCAGAUGGUUCAAUCUUCAAACACAAGGCUAGAUUGGUUGUUAAAGGUUUUGCUCAAGUUGCUGGAGUGGAUUAUGGAGAUACUUUCGCACCAGUAGCUAGGCAUGACACUAUAAGACUCCUACUUGCUCUUGCGGGACAAAAAGGAUGGAAAGUUUAUCAUUUAGAUGUGAAGUCUGCUUUUCUAAAUGGAAUACUACUUGAGGAAAUUUAUGUUCAGCAACCAGAAGGCUUUGUUGUUGCUGGUGAUGAACACAAAGUUUACAAGCUACACAAAGCUCUUUAUGGUUUGAAGCAAGCACCAAGGGCUUGGUACAGCAGGAUUGAUACUCAUUUGAUUCAACUAGGAUUCAAAAGAAGUGAAAAUGAAGCUACCCUAUAUCUGAAACAAGAUGAAGAUGGUUUGCAGCUGGUGAUAUCACUCUAUGUAGAUGACAUGCUAGUUACUGGAAGCAAUGCAAAGUUGCUGGAAGAGUUCAAAACUGAAAUGCAAGAUGUUUUUGAAAUGUCUGAUCUUGGCAUUAUGAACUACUUUCUUGGAAUGGAAAUACAUCAAUGUAGUUCGGGUAUUUUUGUUUCACAAAGGAAGUAUGUUGUUGAUAUACUCAAGAAGUUCAAGCUUGAGUCAUGCAAAGAAGUAGCAACUCCUUUAGCACAAAAUGAGAAAGUUUCAAAGAAUGAUGGUGAGAAACUUGAAGAUCCCUCUGGAUUUAGAAGCCUAGUGGGCAGUUUGCUAUACUUGACAGCAACUAGACCUGACUUAAUGUUUCCAGCUGGUUUGCUGUCAAGGUUUAUGAGCUCACCUAGCAACAUUCACAUGGGAAUUGCUAAAAGAGUGUUGAAGUACAUCAGAGGAACAACUGAUCUUGGCAUCUGGUACUUGAAGACAGGAGGAGUAAAUCUGAUUGGUUAUGCAGACAGUGACUGGGCAGGGAGUGUUGAUGACAUGAAGAGCACCUCUGGAUAUGUUUUUAAUAUUGGUUCAGGUGCAAUCUGUUGGAAUGCAAAGAAGCAGGAGGUGGUGGCACAAUCAACAGCUGAAGCAGAGUAUAUCUCCAUGGCAGCUGCUGCAAAUCAAGCAAUUUGGUUGAACAAAUUGCUUGCUGAUUUGGGUCAAGAACAAAGCUCACAAACUGAGCUUCAUUGUGACAAUAAAUCUGCCAUUGCUAUUGCUCUAAAUCCGGUUCAACAUGGCAGAACCAAGCACAUCAAUGUGAAGUUUCAUUCUAUAAGAGAAGCUGAGAAGAACAAGCUUAUAAAGCUACACUACUGUCCAACAGAUGUUCAACUUGCUGAUAUAAUGACUAAAGCUCUUCCUAGAUCAAGACUGGAAUUUCUAAGGAUGAAACUUGGUUUGUCUAAGGCAAGUCUCAAGGAGGAGUGUUAGAAUUAUGAGAUUUUGCCUUUAGAAAGAUAGAAUUAAGAUCAGUUUUUCAUAUUUGAAUUCUGUAACAGUUUAUCUCCUUCAGGAUUUGCAGCAGAAACAUUCUGCUUAGUCUAGGAUUUCAAUUCCAAUAAUCUCUCAAGUUUGUUGAGAGUUCUAAUGCAUUUCAAGUUCUAUGUAAGCCUAUAUAUAGGCAUUUGAAGUUAAUGAAAACUAUUGAUCUUUCUACUCAACUCUGCCAUCUUAAAUCUGUUUCUUUUUCUUUACGUAAACUAUAUUGUUUAAGUUUAAUUCAUUUCCAUCAAAUUAGAUAUGGCCACAAGUUUUUCACUUGCAUUUUCUUCUAGGCUUUAUCGAUGUUAAUGAUGUUUUUCUCUCUUUACCAUUGAAAUCCGACGACCUCUCUCUCUUCUCUGUCAACCAUGAAUUAAAAAAUAACAAAAAUGAACUUUCAUACCAAAAUUGAAUUUGAAAAAAAUAAUAAUAAUAAGGUACGAAAAUCAUAUAAUUUGUGUUAUUUUAAAAGUUAGAGUACCAAAGUGUAUCUUUUCUAAAAAAAUUUAAACGCCACCUAUGUUUGGCAUCCUUUUUAUUUAUGUCUCUAUUCUUCUAAUCUCACCCUCACCUAAAAAAUAAGAAGCAAUUGACCUUAAAUUAGGAUUGAAUUAUCUAAAAUAAAAAUUUAAAGAUCAUGUACAGUGAAUAUUCCAAGCAUUUUAAUAUUUAGUAUUAAUGUGUGCAGGGAUUUAGAAGGAAAAAAAACAUGUAUACACGGGGGUAGGGGGUACUGAUGCUAAAUGGAUCUUUGAUGGGAGAAGAGAGGGAUAGAUAAGACAUGGGUUGAGAGAAAGUAAGAAAUUUUUUUUUGAAAAAAGCAAAACUUUUGUUAGUUACCUAGUAAGAAAAAGAAAAAAUUCAUACUUCUUAAGAAUUACAGGGUGCAAUUAAAAAAUUUAGAACUAUAAAAAAUAAAUGAAAUAUUGAUAAUCUUUAAAGGUAAAAAUAAAAUUUAUUGGAACCUAUAUACCUUAUCAACUUCUAACCGAGAAUCCUUCAUGUUACAACUACCACGGUAAAUAAAGAAUCAUUGCAGUCCUAAAACCAUAGUUGUAAAACAUGACAUACAAUUAACUUAGAGCAAGGUUGAGUUAUAGGUUGAGAGGGAUGAUCUAUGUUGACUUGUAAUUUUUUUUUAAAGGAUCGAUCCGGAUUUUUUAUUGGAUUUACCAGGUUUUUUUUUUUUUUUCAUUUUUAUUCAACUUGAAUCAGUUCAAAUCUAGUGUCGGUCCGAGUUUUAAAACCAAUCAUCUUCUUAAAACAUGAGUUUUUUAGAAUGACAACAGGUGAGAAUUUAGUUUUUUUUUUUUCAUUUAAAAAACACAUAAACUUUUAAGAGUUAAGAAUUUAAAUUUUUUUAUUUGAUUGUAACUUUACAAUCUUUAUAAACAUAUCUUCAAAACAACUCAUAUGCUAAUUAAUUGUGAGUUGAGAUUAAAUUUUCAUUUUUUAAUACUCUAUAUAUAAUUAAGUAUAAAACCUUAUUUGAUUUAUUUAAAUCUAAGGUCUGGUUGUAAGAAGUUAAAUUCUAUAAUUAACCUCCCAUUCUGAUAUGAAUAGCCUACUCUUAAGUUUUAACUAUAUUAGCGAUGCAAAUUAAUAUUGAUGCAUGGAUAAUUUACUUAUUUUAUUCAAUUAUUUGUGAAAUCCUAAAUAUUUUGCAGAUAAUUUUUAUGUAACAUAAUUGGAAAGAAUAGUUAAUUUCCUUAAAUGGUUUUCUUCUACUAAAAUUUUAAAAUAAAAUUAAUUUUCAAUAUAAAUUUAUUUCAUGGUUAAAAAUCAAUUGGCAUACUUGUUAAUCAAUUCAAAAUGAAAUAAUAAUAAUAAUAAUAAUAAUAAUAAUAAUUAUUAUUAUUAUUAUUAUUAUUAUUAUUAUUAUUAUUUAAUUCUUUUGGUAGGAUCCAAAAGAAAAGGGAAAAACUAUUGUGUGAGCUAAUUAGAGAAAUUGAAAAUGUGAAAAUUUUUUCUUUCAAUUUAUUUUUCUACCACAAUUUCACACUGGCAGUCGACCCUUUAUGAGAUGGAGUACUUGUUUUGUUUCACAAGCAUGGUACUAAUGGAAUAAGAAGAGAGCCUUAUCAUUCACAAAAGAAAAAGAAAAAAAAAUUGUGGAAGGUAAACUCAUUGCCAAGCAAUCCUUUCUCUUUUCCAUCUUUAAUAAAUCAAAUUCUUAUAGUGUCUUCUAAGUUAUUCCCUCCCUUUAAUUUAAUUAGUCUUUCCAACAGUUGGCACCUCACAUUUCCUCUUAAAUUCAAUGGAGCCCCUCUAGCUCCAACCCAAAUUCCAUAACUUCAAUUCUCCUGCAUUUUCUUACAUUCCUUGCUAGCCCCGACCUUGUCAGCCUAAAAAAUCAUGGCUUCUGACGGAAACAAGAACAAACCUCUCGAUCGUGAAGUUAGAGACAUGGUGAAUAACAUGACACGCCGCAUUGUUGAUCAGUUUCACAAGCCAAGUGCAAGUCUCCACAACCAGGAAAGCGCGGCUGAUGAGGAUGGUCACGGCGUUAGAAUCGUUACUCUUGCUGGAACCAACACAGGAGCUUCAAUGCGAAGCGAGUUGGAUGAUCAGAAAUCCAACAAGUUGCUGGAACCAACACAGGGACUUACGUUAAUAGCAAUUUCCAAGCUGUUAACAAUUCUAUCAUGUUUGGUAGCAACUACAGCACUAAUGAUCCUGGUGUUCAUAUGGACAUUUGGGAUACUUAUGAUGAACAUCGUGGACUUCGGCCUGAUAAGCAUGGAAAGAAGGGAAAGAAGGGAAAGAAGGAAGACGAGGAGGAGGAAGCUUCCAAAAGUGACCAACAUUCUGAACAUUCAGAUUGAGGUCACUGAAGAAGAAAAUCGAAGCAGGAGGUUCAAAAGGAAAUGAAGCUGUGCUUUAGUAAUGCUCCAUAUACAACAGGUUUAAGUUUGCUUGUUAAAGAUUACUACAGGUUUGGUUUUCAGAAUUUAUAAUGAUCAGACAAUAAAGUUCCAAAAAUCAUAUAUGGUGUGAUUUACAUGUUGGUUGAUGGCGUG